AGGAAAGAACUAACAAGGAUUCCCCUAGUAACGGCGAGUGAAGCGGGAAGAGCUCAAAUUUGAAAUCUGGUGGCCUCAGGUCAUCCGAGUUGUAAUCUAUAGAAACGUUUUCCGUGCUGGCUCAUGUACAAGUCCCUUGGAACAGGGCGUCAUAGAGGGUGAGAAUCCCGUCCUUGACAUGAACUACCAGUGCUCUGUGAUACGUUUUCAACGAGUCGAGUUGUUUGGGAAUGCAGCUCAAAAUGGGUGGUAAAUUCCAUCUAAAGCUAAAUAUUGGCGAGAGACCGAUAGCGAACAAGUACCGUGAGGGAAAGAUGAAAAGCACUUUGGAAAGAGAGUUAAACAGUAUGUGAAAUUGUUAAAAGGGAAACGAUUGAAGUCAGUCGUGCUCUUUGGAUUCAGCCGGUUCUGCCGGUGUACUUCCAUUGAGUGGGGUCAACAUCAGUUUUGAUCGCUGGAUAAAGGCAGGAAGAAUGUAGCACCUCCGGGUGAACUUAUAGCUUUCUGUCACAUACAGUGGUUGGGACUGAGGAACGCAGCAUGCCUUUAUGGCCGGGAUUCGUCCACGUACAUGCUUAGGAUGUUGACAUAAUGGCUUUAAACGACCCGUCUUGAAACACGGACCAAGGAGUCUAACAUAUCUGCGAGUAUUUUGGGUGUCAAACCCAAGUGCGCAAUGAAAGUGAAUGUAGGA
rnacentral:rRNA from 1 species